GGCGGUGUAGCCAAGUGGUAAGGCAAAGGUCUGCAAAACCUUGAUCCUUGGUUCGAAUCCAAGCACCGCCU
rnacentral:tRNA from 1 species